CCAUCUCACCAUUAUCCGCAUGAACAGCUCCGACCCAAUGAUGUUUGCACAUAUGACCAAGAUCUACUAGUCAGAAUCAAAUCAUCCGGCACCAAAUUAUCUUUCUGAAACGACAUCUGGUGUUCCACUAUCUUAUCAAAAUGAUAGCCCAAUAAUGAUUUCAUAGCUAUCGAAACAGCAAAACAGCUGGAGAUAUCUCGUAUUCCAAAAACUCAUAAAGGCUAGCAGCUGAGUCGGGACUUGAGGCAACACGUGACGGUUCCCUUCGUCCAAUAUGACAGACCACGUGAUGAUAUACACGUCGGACCACCUGAACUUGGGAGUGGGGGGCAACUAUUGGGACAAUACAACCGAUCCCCGACUCCGACCUUACAUCGGUCGAAUGAACAUAUUACGUCGACUCACAAUCGGUUGACUGACCAACAAUCGGCUAUUAUCAACCAACAACGAACAACUUAGUUAACCUUCGACCAA
rnacentral:lncRNA from 1 species